rnacentral:lncRNA from 1 species
CCAAGCACUGCCACAUAGCAACAGGAAGCAGAGCUGGAUGGAUGGAGGCCUAGCACUCUGUUACAUAGCAACAGGAAGCAGAGCUGGAUGGAUGGAGGCCUAGCACUCUGUUACAUAGCAACAGGAAGCAGAGCUGGAUGGAUGGAGGUUUUGAGGCAACCUCAGUAGAGACAACCCAACAACCAGGGAUGGAAUGGCUUUGUUACUCUGCCAUAAUUAGAACUUUCUUUAAAAUAGAUGGGCGACACAGCCCCCACACCCACUCAUAUGUACACACAGACUUUCACAUACACAGAAACAUGCCUACAUACACAACCACAGUCACACACACAUACAAGACACAUACAACCAGACAUACACACAGAUACAUCCACAAACACACACAUUCACAUGCAUACACGCAUAUACCAACCACAUUUGUUCCAGAUUUUAAGGUGUAGACUCAUUGUUACAAGAAGUAGAGAAAAAAGAAAAAA